GGCCAAGUCUGAAUAUCGGGGCUGACUCCUGAGCAAAAGUGGUCAGUGGUGGAGAGAGAAAGGGACCUUGCAACAAUUUGGAAUCCUGGAUCUCUAGUGUGUCUGGAAAACUACUUGUGUGCCAGUUGACACCUGGAUAAACCAGAGGUCUGUGGACCCCUCCCAAGAACAGGUUUGUACCGGAUUGUGAGGUCUGGGAAACCAGGGACCUUAUUUCACUUGGAAACCCUGAUUCUUAGUACAGAACCUGAGACCUGAGUUUCUGAUCAAAGCAACAGAAUGAAUACAGAUAAUCUAAAGCAUGAGCCAAGGAACGCAGUGUGCUGAAAAAAAAUUUGCCAGACGCCAAAUGAGAUAAGGAGCGUCCUGUGAGCAGGGACAGAUGUGGACAGGCCCGCAGAUAG
rnacentral:lncRNA from 1 species